UAGUAACGGCGAGUGAAGCGGGAUGAGCUCAAGCUUAAAAUCUCCGUGCAAAUUUUGCAUGGCGAAUUGUAGUCUAUAGAGGCGUGAUUAGCAUAGGCACUUGGGGCAAGUUCCUUGGAAGAGGACAGCAUCGAGGGUGAUACUCCCGUUUAUCUCCGAGUUGCUUAUGCGUACAAUCCGUUUUCUUUGAGUCGCGUUGUUUGAGAAUGCAGCGCAAAGUAGGUGGUAAAUUCCAUCUAAAGCUAAAUAUUGGUGCGAGACCGAUAGCAAACAAGUACCGUGAGGGAAAGAUGAAAAGAACUUUGAAAAGAGAGUUAAAGAGUACCUGAAACUGCUGAAAGGGAACCAAAUCGUUUCCAGUGUCUAUAAUCCGUGGUAUAUUUCAUUGGCGAAUGUGUGCGUGCGUGUACUAUGGCAGCGGCUUUUUGCUGCGCCUUGUGUGUGUGUGCACUUUCUCGCUGAUGCCCUGUACCGUGGUGGGACGUCAAUGUCGGUUCGUAAAUUGCGGGAAAUGACUGCCGAGGAGGUAGGGCGAACGCUUGCGUUUGUCUGUUAUAUCUUGGCGGACGUAGUAGUCGCGGUUGGGACUGAGGUGCCUACAAUGUGCUUAUGAGUAGAAUUGAUUCUCCGUGUGCGCUGUGUGCGGAUAGCUUGCUAUGCGUGUGUGGCUGCGUGUGGAU
rnacentral:rRNA from 1 species